rnacentral:lncRNA from 1 species
GUUACUUCACAUUUUACAGAAGCUGAUCCCUGUAGUGAGACGUCUGAUUCGGAAGAAAUCCUUUGUUUAGAAGAGGAAGUAAAUGCAAUGGGGCCACUAAUAGAUGCUGAGCUUGAAAAAGUUGAUCGGAAGCAUGCGGAACUGACAAAGCUGAGUCAACAGUUGGUUGAUGCCUUGAACCUGUAUCACAUGAUGAUGCGUGAUCCGAUGAUGCCUUCAGUAUCAAAACCUGUUGAGGGCCUUGCACCACCUUAUUUCAAUAGAAUGCCUAACAUGCCUUCAAAUGCACAGUUCUUGUCCCUCUCACAUCAGCAUCCGCAACAGCAUUCUCAGCCUCUGCAUCGUCAUUCUCUCCCACAUCUGCACACGCAUCCUCAUUCCCAUCCGCCUCCCCACUUGCAUCCUCCUAAUGCUCACCUACAACCCCAUUUCCCCCUAAUGCCAGGCCCUCCACAAGGCCCUCAAUCUCGCCCUCCUCAACAAUAUAACGGCCCGUUUCCACCUCGGAGCUUGCCAAAUUACAUCGGUGGAUAUCAACCUCCACAUUUUAACUAUGCACUCUCACAGCAUUUAAAUCAGCAACAGCCCUUGUCCCCCAGUUCAGGGAUGCCAGCUCAAAUGACACCUGUCUCCACGCCCUAUCCUACUCCACUGUGUCAGCCUGGAGUAAGAUACGCAGUCAAGUCUCAAAUGAAUUAGAAACCAGUUAUUUUAGUUUUCAAAUCCCAAUCUGCGAUAUUCCCUAAACUUUCACGAUGAUUCCCGUUGUCGCUCGCACCUCUGCUUCCACAUCUCAUGGACACAAGAU